rnacentral:lncRNA from 1 species
UAGCUAUCCACCCCAAUUUCCCUAAUCCAAAUUGGCAACAAAGCACAAGGAGUUUUAAACAAACAAAAAACUCCUAAGCAAAGCAGGAAAAUCUGACGCAAUGUAAGAUUGAAACAGAUCCUCUUAACAACACUUUUCGCUAUGAGAAAAGCUGUUUUAAGGGCAUGACGAGACUGAACUUUCACUUGCCAAACAUCCGUUUUUUGUUAUUGUUUUUUUUAUAUCUAAACUAUAUACAACUAGGUGAAGUUCCGUACCUUGUGCGGAUUAAUAUAUAUAUAUAUAUCUAACGAAUUAUAAUUUAAUAUAAAUAUUAUAUUAAUUUAAUAAUUUUUAAAUUAAUAUUUUUAGUCGUUGAGAGUUUUAUUAUGCUUUAUUUAACCAAAUUUUAAUUGCUUGUUGUGUAGAUUUCUUUUUUUUUUCUUAUUGUUU